CUACGGGUUGCUGCAGUGAGGAAUUUUGCGCAAUGGGGGAAACCCUGACGCAGCAACGCCGCGUGAGCGAAGAAGGCCCUCGGGUCGUAAAGCUCUGUCAAGUGGGAAAAAAAUUUUUUGAUCAAUAGUCAAAAGACUUGAUGGUACCACUGGAGGAAGCACCGGCUAACUCCGUGCCAGCAGCCGCGGUAAUACGGAGGGUGCGAGCGUUGUUCGGAUUUACUGGGCGUAAAGAGCGUGUAGGCGGUUUAGCAAGUCAGAUGUGAAAGCCCUGGGCUCAACCCGGGAAGUGCAUUUGAAACUGCUUCACUAGAGUAUGGGAGAGGAGAUUGGAAUUCCUGGUGUAGAGGUGAAAUUCGUAGAUAUCAGGAGGAACACCCGUGGCGAAGGCGAUUCUCUGGACCAAUACUGACGCUGAGACGCGAAAGCGUGGGGAGCAAACAGGAUUAGAUACCCUCAUAGUC
rnacentral:rRNA from 1 species